AGUGAACGCUGGCGGUAGGCCUAACACAUGCAAGUCGAACGGCAGCACAGUAAGAGCUUGCUCUUACGGGUGGCGAGUGGCGGGCGGGUGAGGAAUACAUCGGAAUCUACUUUUUCGUGGGGGAUAACGUAGGGAAACUUACGCUAAUACCGCAUACGACCUACGGGUGAAAGCAGGGGAUCUUCGGACCUUGCGCGAUUGAAUGAGCCGAUGUCGGAUUAGCUAGUUGGCGGGGUAAAGGCCCACCAAGGCGACGAUCCGUAGCUGGUCUGAGAGGAUGAUCAGCCACACUGGAACUGAGACACGGUCCAGACUCCUACGGGAGGCAGCAGUGGGGAAUAUUGGACAAUGGGCGCAAGCCUGAUCCAGCCAUACCGCGUGAGUGAAGAAGGCCUUCGGGUUGUAAAGCCCUGUUGUUGGGAAAGAAAAGCAGCAGGUUAAUACCCCGCUGUUCUGACGGUACCCAAAGAAUAAGCACCGGCUAACUUCGUG
rnacentral:rRNA from 1 species